UAUUUUUUCUACACCUCCAGAAAUUAAACCAAAGCCGAGCCAACUCACCCUUUUAGGCUAGUUAAUUUAGUCUGGAAGUUCAUCCUGAUUUCGACAUAUGCUGGUCAAUAUGGGGUGACGUUUAGCUGGAAAUUAAAAGAUGAUUUUCGUGAAAAAGGAGUAGCAAGUUGCGGCCUUCCUAGAAGAUUAAAUGAAUAAAGCAUUAUGUGUUCACAAUGAAGAAAAUCGGCUAAAUCAAGGGAUAUGGAAACAAUGAAAGGCCGAUUGAAUUAAUCAUCUUCCUGUUAAAGUCGGAAAAAAAAGAAAUAAGAGAAUGGAUGACUUCCGGAUGAUUUUAACUAGCCUAAGAAAAAUUAGCUCCACCAUCCAAAUUAAUUCCUUCCGUCCGCUGCACAUUACCUCGGCCUCAUUACAACCUUUAUUUUUGCCUCGAUUAUAUUUAUGGAAUUUGAUGUGUUAUGUUAUAGGUAAGAUGGACAAGCAAGCCUAUGGUGGUUAAUUAUGGUCGAUUUCAAUUUGAGAGCAUUAUACUAGCCUAAACACAAUGAGUGAAGAGUGUUAAUAAUUUUAUUCUUCCCGGUGAGAAUUGAUCAAAGAAGCAUGAUUAAUUUCUUUUCUUUACUCUCUAGAAUAAACCAAAAUCUAGACUGAUUGACUUCAAAAAUGUAUCCUAAGCAUGAGCGAUGCAACAAUUCUUGACUAAUCUUGACAUUCUGAAAUUCUUCUUGAUUCUUUUUGACUUGAUUGCUCAGGGACGAUCAAUAAUUUAAGUAUGGGGGAGUUUGUUAAGUUCAAUUUCGAGCUUAACUUGUUCACUUAAAUUAUUUAAUUUAUUGAUUAAUUUGUGGUUAAUUAAGUUAUAAUUCAGCUUGAAUUGAUUAGAGACACUCUAUGCCGUAAUAAUUUAAUUGCACUCCAAUUCAACAAUUUAAUUUUAAUUUUAUUUCAUGUGCAGGUUGAUGCCCGUACAAGCUCAAAUUGGGAGGAUAAUUCGCAUAAAUAAGGCUGCUGGAAGAGGGUGGUCAGAUGUUGAUUUAAAGAAAUUGAAUUGACAAUAAAACAAAGAAGGAAAUUCGGUCCAAAGUGGAUGUACAGCAGGCCGAAUGAAUUAAACAAAUAAAGGAGGAGCACUCGGUCCAAUUGGAAGCCAAACAUGCGACAAACUUAAAAAGGGAAUUAUUAUUUCCUUCUUACCAAGCGGUGGCCGAUUUUAGUUCAAUCAAUUGGAAGCCAAAUCAGCUUUGAAGAGUUAAAUUAAAACUCUUCUAAGCUGAAGCUAUUUUCAUGCGACGGGUGAGGCUAAGAAAAAGGGGAUAAGAUCAGAAUUAAUUUUGAAUUGUGGAAGGUUAUUAUCCCAUAAAUAGAGAUGACAGCAGCUAAAAAACCAGAGGAGAAACAGAGGAAAAUAUUCAGCAGCAUAGGAAAGGCGUGGUUCAAGUGAGCAGAAUUUUCUAAAAUUGGCCCAGCAAAUCCGAUCAAGGAGCUAGAGUAGCAGCUAGUAAAUUCGUCUAGUUGGGAGAAGGGAAAUCGGACGACUCGAAGAACUUUGCCUUCCAAGAAUCAGCUUACGUAAACGACAACUACCAUUUGGGGAUCGCGGUGUUCUUCUCGAUGGUCUCCGUUGUGAUGAUUGACGUGCAUGGAUGUUUGGUCGGGGAGAUGAGCGGUCUUGGCGGUCAGAUGAGUGAGGUGGUUCGACAGGACUGUUCGAAGGGUGAUCGGUCGAAACGGGUGGCUCAUGGGGCGGGUAGACUACGACGAUUGGAGUUGGAUUGCAGUUUCUUCUAGGGCGGCGCGGUUGCGGCGGUGAAGAUGGAGGAGACUCGUCGGAGUCGAUGGUGACAAAGGUUGGAGCGAAAAAACGGUGUUGACGUCGGUUUACCACUGAGGGUGGUUCUUGCGCUGCGCGGUCGCGGGUACGUACCAUGGUGGGGUGGUGCAAUGGCUUACUUGGAGGUCUGUUUUGAAGAUGGUAAAGGAAAGAAAAAAAUGGCAGUGUUGAAGGUGAAGAAGAAAGAAAGGGGGAAUAAAAGAAAGAAAGUAGAGUUUGAAAAAGAUUUUUUUUUCUUUCUUUGGCCGGUCAAAUAGGGGUAAAUGGGAUUGUGUGUUGUUUUAUUAUUUUUUAGGGUAAAGAGAAGGCUAGGAUGUGAUGGGUGAAGGUGUAGGAUUUGAUUGGUGGUGAAGUUUUUAUUUAUUUGAGAGGAGUAGACGGUUAGGUGGGGUAAAAGUGGAGAGUUAAUAUGGGGUAGUGGUUUUUUUCUAGGUGAAAAAGUUUGAUUUGAUGGGUGUAAGGUCUUUUUUCUUUUUUUUAAUUAGAAAAGGAAUAGACGGUUGGGGUGGGAAAUUUUGGGUUUAAAUUUUGUUUUUUUUUUCUUUUGGAUUUUGGGUAGGUAUGAUGGGUUGGGUUAAUGGGCUAGCUUAGGGUAAAAGGAUUUUAAAAUGGUGGAUAUGUAGAGUGGGCCUUGGCUGAAAAAUAAAAAGAAUUUGUGGGUUGACAUGUGGAAUUUAAA